AUUGAACGCUGGCGGCAUGCCUAACACAUGCAAGUCGAACGGCAGCACGACCUAGCUUGCUAGGUUGGUGGCGAGUGGCGCACGGGUGAGUAAUGCGUAGGAAUAUACCUUAAAGUGGGGGACAACCUGGGGAAACUCAGGCUAAUACCGCAUGAGCCCUAAGGAGGAAAGCUGGGGACCUUUCGGGGCCUGGCGCUUUAAGAAUAGCUUACGUCCGAUUAGUUAGUUGGUGGGGUAAAGGCUUACCAAGACGAUGAUCGUAAGCUGGUCUGAUAGUAUGAUCAUCUACGCUGGGACUGAGACGCGGCCCAGGCGCCUACGGGAGGGAUCAGUGGGGAAUGUUGGACAAUGGGGGAAACCCUGAUCCAGCGAUGCCGGGUGUGUGAAGAAGGCCUGCGGGUUGUAAAGCACUUUCGGUGGGGAGGAGGACUUAUAGGUUAAGAGCUAAUGAGUUGGACGUUACCCCCAUAAGAAGCACCGGCUAACUCCGUGCCAGCAGCCGCCGUAA
rnacentral:rRNA from 1 species